rnacentral:rRNA from 1 species
UACGGAGGGAGCUAGCGUUGUUCGGAAUUACUGGGCGUAAAGCGCGCGUAGGCGGCUUUGUAAGUUAGAGGUGAAAGCCCGGGGCUCAACUCCGGAACUGCCUUUAAGACUGCAUCGCUUGAAUCCGGGAGAGGUGAGUGGAAUUCCGAGUGUAGAGGUGAAAUUCGUAGAUAUUCGGAAGAACACCAGUGGCGAAGGCGGCUCACUGGACCGGUAUUGACGCUGAUGCUCGAAAGCUAGGGGAGCAAACAGG